UUAGGAAACUUUUCCCCAAAGUCCUUACAAAAGGAAUCCUGCUAUCACUGCAAAAGGAUAUUUUGUAAAAGAGAUAGUCCUGAUCUAAACUUUGAACCUAGGAAACAAGUAUAUGGUUUAUUUAAGAGCUAAAAAUAGGCAUUUAAGAAAAAAGGUUUUCCCCUUUAAGGAUGAUGCUCAAUCAAGUAUUUGGUGGUUUUAUUAUUUCAGUUUCCUAUUCAUUUGUCACCAAUAAUGACAAUUUAUAAUCACUCUGUAUAGUUCAAAAUUAUGCAUUAGGCCAGAUAUUUCAAAGGCACUUUUGGUAGCCA
rnacentral:lncRNA from 1 species